UGAGGGAAAGCUCCAAAGUACUCUGAAGAGAGAGUUCAAUAGGACGUGAACCCGUCUGCAGGGAAGCGGGUGAGACCGCACGAUUGACCCACCAUGGAUUCAGCUCAGGGGAUCUGUUCUGUUCUGGCCGGGUGGAGUCCGGGGUCGGUCUCGGCCGACUCUGGAUCUCUGCCCGGUCUCUCGGACGGUUUCUUGGGUACACUUCCACGAACGUGGGCAGUGUGGGGAUCGGUUCGGCUGNGNCUAAAGUCGUAGGGGGUAGUAGCAGUGGAGCUCCUGAUCAGGGGAGGUCCGCCGUGGUGUGCCCUUGCGUUCGGUGGCCAUGGCCCGGACCGAGGAAUCUGUCCGUCUGUCUCCUCGGAACGGGGGGAACAGGUCUGUCUCGGUCGGCGUGGUGGUUUGACUAGAAGAGGGCUGGUCUCUGGCUGGCCUUCUCCGACCGCCACCGCAUUCAUUCCAGCAGGUCUGAUUAAGGCGACGUGAUCUCCCACGCCCAGGUCGGCACCUCACCUGACCC
rnacentral:rRNA from 1 species